rnacentral:rRNA from 1 species
CUAAAACUCAAAGGAAUAGACGGGGACCCACACAAGCGGUGGAGCAUGGGGUUUAAUUCGAUGGUAACCGGAGCACCUCACCCAGGUUUGACAUCUCGGGAACCCCGCGGAAACGCGGGGGUGCCGCAAGGAACCCGAAGACAGGUGAUGCACGGUCGUCGUCAGCUCGUGCCUUGAGGUGUACUGUUAAGUCAGCGAACGAGCGCAACCCUCAUCCUAUGUUGUUUUUUCAUGGGAGACUGCCGCCUCCAAGGCGGAGGAAGGUGGGGAUGACGUCAGAUCAGCGUGUCCUUUAUGCCUGGGGCUACACCCAUGCUACAAUGGCCGGUACAAACGGCAGCGAACCCGCGAGGGUGAGCAAAUCCGAUCAAACCCGGUCUCAGUUCGGAUUGAAGUCUGCAACUCGACUUCAUGAAGUUGGAAUCGCUAGUAACCGUGGGUCAGCUACACCACGGUGAAUAUGUUCCUGGGUCUUGUACUCACCGCCCGUCAAGUCAUGAAAGGCAGGGGUACCUGAAGCACCCUUACCCGCAAGGGGGGGUAUCACGGUAAAACUGCUGAUUGGGACUAAGUCGUAACAAGGUAUCCGUAGGAGAACCUGCGGAUGGAACUUUUCCUUA